rnacentral:rRNA from 1 species
GACGAACGCUGGCGGCGUGCUUAACACAUGCAAGUCGAACGGAAAGGCCUGCUUUCCCUUGUGGAUUGCGGGUACUCGAGUGGCGAACGGGUGAGUAACACGUGAGUGAUCUGCCCCCAACUUGGGUAUAAGCCUGGGAAACUGGGUCUAAUUCCCGAUAGGACUGCAGGGUGGUGCCUGUGGUGGAAAACGAUUUUCUAGUGGUUGGGGAUGAGCUCGCGGCCUAUCAGCUUGUUGGUGGGGUAAUGGCCUACCAAGGCGGCGACGGGUAGCCGGCCUGAGAGGGUGGACGGCCACAUUGGGACUGGGAUACGGCCCAGACUACUACGGGAGGCAGCAGUGGGGAAUAUUGCACAAUGGGCGGAAGCCUGAUGCAGCGACGCCGCGUGGGGGAUGACGGCCUUCGGGUUGUAAACUCCUUUCGACCGCGAGGAAGCCACCUGGUUGGAAGGGUGGUGACGGUAGUGGUAGAAGAAGCACCGGCUAACUACGUG